rnacentral:tRNA from 1 species
GCCGAUGUAGCUCAGUUGGUAGAGCAGCGCUUUCGUAAAGCGAAGGUCGCCGGUUCGAUUCCGGCCAUCGGCUCCA